UGACAGGAGAGUUAAUUCUGAGACAAGGAAAUCAUCUGCUUCUAUAUUCCAGAAGAGUUCUUAUUACUAUUCUCAGUAUUCUGAGACGAGGAAAAACUCUGCUGCUUCCAACAUCUCUUCAGAAAUCAAAUUUUGCAACAUGACGGUGUCGAAGCGUUUGGCGGAGAAGAAAGUGGCAAAGUUUGAGAAGAAUAUAAGCAGGAGAGGAGUAGGGCCCAUUUCUUCCAACAAGACCGCCUUGGAGCCUGCUCACGUUGUUCUUAUUCUCUUCGCCGUUUUGGUCGUCGCCUCCUUUAUCUUUCAGGUGGUGAGGAUGGCCAUCAAUGGAGGAAUUCCUGCAGAGCAAGAUUCUUGAGGAAUGGAAAACCCUCUUUUUUUCACUGACUUAAUAAUGUCACUGUCGCUUAUUCAACUACAUCUUUUUUGAUAUAAAAU